CGGCAACAGCUCAAAUUUGAAAUCUGGCCCCUAGGGCCCGAGUUGUAAUUUGCAGAGGAUGCUUUUGGCAAGGCGCCGCCCGAGUUCCCUGGAACGGGACGCCGCAGAGGGUGAGAGCCCCGUCUGGCUGGACGCCGAGCCUUUGUAAAGCUCCUUCGACGAGUCGAGUAGUUUGGGAAUGCUGCUCUAAAUGGGAGGUAUAUGUCUUCUAAAGCUAAAUAUUGGCCAGAGACCGAUAGCGCACAAGUAGAGUGAUCGAAAGAUGAAAAGCACUUUGAAAAGAGGGUUAAACAGUACGUGAAAUUGUUGAAAGGGAAGCGCUCAUGACCAGACUUGGGCUUGGCGGAUCAUCCGGCGUUCUCGCCGGUGCACUUCGCCUCGCCCAGGCCAGCAUCAGUUCGCCCCGGGGGACAAAAGCUUCGGGAAUGUGGCUCCUCCGGGAGUGUUAUAGCCCGUGGCACAAUACCCUGGGGCGGACUGAGGUUCGCGC
rnacentral:rRNA from 1 species